UUGACUUAAUAUUUCAAACUAUUGGCUCAGUAUCUCAAUAUAUUGACUUAGUUACUCAGAAUAUUGACUAGGAAUCUGAAAGUAAUGAGAAACUUUAAAAUAUUGUCUUAGAAUCUCGAUAUAUUAACUUCUGCACACCGGCGUGCAAAGUAUUACUUUGUAUUAUGGAGUCUGAAGAUCCUUUUUUCUUGUUGAAGGGGAAAUCUAUUCUUGGGACACGUUUGCUUCUACUGUUUCAACUGAAUUUUAUUAAUGUUGAUAGUGUUCGGAUGCUUUCAACGGUUUGUUCGAAUUCUGCAUUAGCAUAACACAAUUUGUUUUUUAAAAUGAUAAAUCUUUACCCGGACAAGUGACUUUUGUGCAUGGACAAGUGAAACGUAAAUAUACUUGUCCAAAGGACAAGUGCCUCAAAAAGUUAAUGUCAAGCCCUGAAUGUAGUUACUGUU